rnacentral:rRNA from 1 species
GACGAACGCUGGCGGCGUGCCUAAUACAUGCAAGUCGAACGCUUCCUACCGGUGCUUGCACCGGGAAAGAAGAGUGGCGGACGGGUGAGUAACACGUGGGUAACCUACCUACAAGCGGGGGAUAACAUUCGGAAACGGAUGCUAAUACCGCAUAGAUCUUUUUGUCUCCUGGCAGAAAGAAGAAAGACGGUUUCGGCUGUCUCUUGUAGAUGGACCCGCGGCGCAUUAGUUAGUUGGUGAGGUAAUGGCUCACCAAGACGAUGAUGCGUAGCCGACCUGAGAGGGUGAUCGGCCACACUAGGACUGAGACACGGCCCAGACUCCUGCGGGAGGCAGCAGUAGGGAAUCUUCCGCAAUGGACGAAAGUCUGACGGAGCAACGCCGCGUGAGUGAAGAAGGUUUUCGGAUCGUAAAACUCUGUUGUUAGAGAAGAACAAGGAUGAGGGUAACUGCUCGUCCCUUGACGGUAUCUAACCAGAAAGCCAUGGCUAACUACGUGCCAGCCGCCGCGGUAA